AGGGGUGUGGCUCAGUGGCAGAGCACUUGCCUAGCAUGCACAAAGCCCUGGGUUCCAUCCCCAGCACCACAC
rnacentral:tRNA from 1 species